AUAUUAUCGAAUCUUUCUAACACCUCAAAUUGGGUCUUAGGAUAAAAAAGCUAAUGAUAGGAAAACAAAAUAUAGCAACACGAUGGACUAGCUCGUAUGAAUGUUAAUGCUCUUGUCAUAAAUCGGGUCAUUUUUUCCUUUUUUGUCCCUUUUAGAAAUAUUCGACUUUUCGUUUUGUUGAAUCCAAAUAUGGAGUGUACUUACUAUAUAUGUAGAUUUUGCUGUACUACAUAUGUUUGUAAUAAUCUUG
rnacentral:lncRNA from 1 species